AAUAAACUCUUGGUGUCCCCUUGUAGGAUUACACAGGAGAAAACCAACCAUUCGAUGCCUUUCUUCUUCCAUUCCCAACCAGAAGGUUGUUUCUGACCCAUUGAAAUAUUGCCUACAAAGAAGACGGGAGCCUCCUGCAGCAGUCUGGAGUGAUCUGAGAGCUGAACCAAGGUUUGAGGCCCAUCGCCAGGUGGUCCUGAAUAUCCGUGCAUCCUGGGACCUUGUUAGGAUGAACUCACCAGAGGCGAGGUUCUGGGUUGCUCAAUGCAGAGACUCUUACCCGGGGUGUCAGCCUCUGAAAGAUACACGUGCCUGGGCCUCUUCCCUGAAGAUGGGCCCGGCAGUUCUGGAGGGAGGCGCCUGUGAUGAGCCGCUGAUCCGAGCUCGGGCUGCGUCAUGGGACCAGCCACAAGGUUGCCUGACCUAUAAAGGUCACAGGAGUGCCUCAGGGAGACAGCAGCAGUUAUAGCUGCGAGAUACCUUAUCAUCUUUACUUUGUUGGAGAGGAGCUAUAAUAGUCUAUAUUAAAGUUACUGUUCAGACAGAUGAUUCCAACAAAUUGCUUUCAUUACUUUAUUGGUAAUUUUAAGCACUACAGAACUUAGUUGUUUUUUUCUGGAAGAAAACUGGAAUUAAAAUCACUGAUCCUUUAGAGAAAUAAAACAAAGGAGAAGGGAGUAUACAAAAUAAAUAAGAAAAGAAUUCUUAGCAUACUUUCCUGUAUUCUCACUGAGAAAUAAAAAGUAAAUAGGACAUUGAGAAGCAAAAUUAAUCCCGAUUAGGCUCGCUUUGGGACAAGCAACCACUUUGCAUGAUUCACUGUCAGGUGUGAAACGGAGCCAAUGAUCGCUUUGUCGAGGAGAAAAGACCUGGAGACCACAGCUUAUCCAGUCUCACUCCUGACCUGCAUCUGAACACCUGAAGGAAGAAACUUUUAGAAGAAAGACUUCAAGUGACAGAGGAGACAAAAGUCUCAAAGGUGCAGAAUUCAAGAACUCAUUGAGUCUCAGGAUGGGUGUGAAAGUAACAAAUAUGAGAUCCCGUGACAACUAAACCCAGGCAUGUCCAGGAGUCCCAGGAUGUGGUGAAAGUUUUCUCCGCAGAGCUCACACCAGCAUUGUCUGGAAGAUUAAAUGUUGUUAUGCUUUGAGAUUGGCACUCAUGCCAUUCAUAUUUUUUUAUUAAGAAGUACAAUGAAAUUUAACUUACUCCAUUUUUGGCACCAAUGUAAUUACCAAAUUAAACUAGAUUUUCAAAAAUAAUCAGAGGCCCUGCCCCACAGACUCCUCCUGGGCACGGGGAGAUGUGGGGCCAGCCAGUAGUGACUCCCUCUUGGGUGCUGAUCCACCAUGCUGACUUCAGACCGGCGCCAGUCCCCCGAGCGCUUCCCAAUUCCUAUGUGACUUCCUGUCCCUAGUGUAGGAACAUGUCGGCCUUGAUGUGAUCACACAAAUCAUAGGCUAUGACACAUCUACCACUCUUGCCUGUUCCGAAGGGCUGCCUUCAGUUGUCUUGCAAAGAGCACUUAUACCUCUUCCCUACGGCACAGGAGCCCUGGGUCUGGGGUGACAGGGGCAGAGACCUACCUGUCCUCCAGCCACCCAAGACCAUGCUUCUGUCUGUAAGUUCCCCCAGUAAAACACCCUUUACAGACAAAUUUCAUUGGUCUGGCUUAUUCUUUGGUUUCUCAGAUCCUUCGGCAUUUGGGGGCUGUGUUGAAUAUGUGGCCCUUUCCCGGAACAGGAGACAAUGUUCUACGUCAUGUUCCAGGACAAAUGGCCUGGCAGAGCACGGCAGAUGAUUUCAGGGGGCGUUUGAGCAGGACCUCACUCUCUGCAGCUCUCCUUCCCGGUGACAGGAGUCAUGCGGGAUGGAUGGCCUUGCACAGGGCACUUUUCACUCUGCGAGUGCUCACACCUUACGCUCUUCAUUUUGUUAAUGCUCAUUGGCUAAAAUAGCAGCUUAUGUAUAAUUCUUUCAGCAUCUGUUGAGCACCACGCUUUGCCUGAGGAGGGAAAGGUUGAUAACAUGAUAACUGAUCAUCCAACAGGUUCACGUUCAGGUGGGAGACAGACACUGAGAUGAAUGAGUCUGAAACCUGCUACACUGGGAGCUUUUACAAAAGCUUGGACCUCACUCCAAACCAACUGGGUCAAAGUGUCUGGGAGAAACGCUGCCUGGGAAGUGCUAUUUUAUUAGUAUUAUUAUUUGAGACAGUCUCACUCUGUCACCCAGGCUGCAGUGC